rnacentral:rRNA from 1 species
CCUACGGGAGGCAGCAGUGGGGAAUUUUGCGCAAUGGGGGAAACCCUGACGCAGCGACGCCGCGUGGAGGAUGAAGGCCUUCGGGUUGUAAACUCCUCUUGUGGGGGACAAUGGUGAUGGUACCCCAUGAAUAAGCCACGGCUAACUCUGUGCCAGCAGCCGCGGUAAGACAGAGGUGGCAAGCGUUGUUCGGAAUCACUGGGCUUAAAGGGCGUGUAGGCGGCAUUGCAAGUCUGGGGUGGAAUCCGGUGGCUUAACCACCGAACUGCCCUGGAAACUGCAUUGCUUGAGUCAGUGAGGGGAGGGCGGAAUUCCCGGUGUAGCAGUGAAAUGCGUAGAUAUCGGGAGGAACACCAGUGGCGAAGGCGGCAUCCGGGCUCAUAACUGACGCUGAGUCGCGAAAGCGUGGGGAUCAAACAGGAUUAGAUACCCCUGUAGU